AAGAUACUAGUAAAACCGAAAAUUACAUUGCCUUGUCGAGACAAAAUUGCAGGUUAAAUCCCUGCGUAUCUUA
rnacentral:tRNA from 1 species